GCCUUUUCUGCCUCCAACCACAGCUUUCCAGGAGUAUCAAUCAUCCCCGAACUAGGAUUCUUCGCAUUUUAAUUAUGCUAAUAUCGUCAUAAUUUCAUUCUCGUUAACAGCGAUUGAAUUUCAGUCUCUGCAGAUGGUGAAGCUGGACAGUUACCAAGCCACAUGCCAUCUUGAGAGGAGGUUAUGGACCAGUGCUUAGCCUGUGGCAGUGCUGCUCAGCACCAUUUCUGGGUUGCAACACUUUACUUUACCCAUUUGUGAAAUGGCAUAUGCCUUUGCCUCAUACUGGUUUUGAGAUUUACAAAGAACACUUCUAAAAAUAAAGAGUUCAUUGCCCAGCUAGCUAAUUCUUGUUACAACACAGCCCUGCCUGCUUUGACAAUUUCAGGUGAAGGCUAGAGAGGAAUUACGCUAUUAAUUUAAAGUGCCUACAAAGAGGACAGACACUCCUCACAAGAAGCCUCAGGAGAAGACAAAGGAGAACAAGUACAAGUUUCACCAGGAGAAAUUUGUUCUCAACAUAGGAAAGACAUUUUUUACAGUGAAAACUACCUAUCACUGGAACAACCUCCCCAGGGAUGUGGUAGAGCCUCCAUCACUGGAAGUUUACAACAUCUCAUUGCAUACCACUGGGUGCUAGAUAAUCUUGUCUAAGAUCCCUUUCCCAUGAAAAUUUGGACCACAUAAACUUUCUGUGUCUAUUCCAACAUGGGAUGCUUCAUGAUUCUGUGGUCCUGUGGUUGUUGCAGGUGUACACAGAUGUGUGGGUAUGUCACCACAAUAGACACCAACCCACUGAAUCUCCCCAUGAGAGCAAGUGUAGUCCCCAGAUCAUGGCAGUGCUGAUGGGAAGGACCUCUGUGGUUUUCUCACCCAGCCUCCUACUGAGAUCAGGCUGGGGUCUUCUGGGUAUGUCCCUUGUUUUUCUCACAGAAUAAAAUUAUUGAAGGCUACACAGAUAAAUUUGUACAACCACAAUCACACCUGUGCUGCGGGGACUGGCAACCAAGGCAACCCUUCUCCUCACCAUUGUGGUAGAUGGACCAGGGUUUGUUGCAUCUCCUUUCUGGACUGGAUUUCUCUUCAAGGAAAACCAGUGUGGGUAGAGUGAGUGGUGAGCACAAAAGCAGUGACCCAGAGAAAUACUGGGACAUGCAGAGGGACCAGGACCUCAGUGCACAUUAUGAGGAACUAUUCUGGCCCACACAGCAGCUCCAGUUCCACUCAGUGGAGAAUAGGUGGCUUCCCAGAUGUACCCUGGCAUAAUCCAUCACUGCCUUUCCUCACCACGCCUGGCCUACCUGUACCAUCUGUGAGGUACUCACACGUUCCAGACACAAUCCUCAGCUCUAAGCUAAGGGAAAUCCCACUGCUCCCUGGCUGACAGGCAGAGGAAACUUCAGCUUAAGCCUGGCUUCAAGUCAGAAAUCAAUAUUGCAUAAACCAAACUGCACCAGUUCUGCAGGAAAGGUUGACAUUGUGACUGAAAGUGUGAUGAAUGAUUUUAACAUGGAUUUGAUGCUUGAGUUGUUGGGUUUUUUAAUACAAAUACAGACUCUGGUAAGGCAAAUAGAAAUUAUAUGGACUAUUGCAGCUUUCUGGUCUGAAGAACAUAUUAAAAUCACUUCAGGAGAUGAUAUCUGAUCAGCUUCUUAUGUAACUGUUGCCUCCUCCUACUCCAUUUGACAGCUGACCUCCCAGAUAAUCAAAGUAAGACACAGAUGGCAGCUGCACAGCCGAGGUAAACACGAAAUGGUCUCUGUGACAGCCCAGAAGAGCCAUUGUUUUCCCAUACCUAAAUCAGAUGGCAAUCUAGGAUCCCAGCCAGACCUAUCUUCCCCCAAGCAUUAAAAGCACACAAUGAAUGAAAAGGCACAGUAGUCAAAAGGGUAAGAAACAGUGUCAGUAAUAUUUCGUAUUGCAGUAAGUCUUCAGAUACUUCUAGGAAAUACUUUUAAUCCAUGGCAAGGACUUUGAUUUUCUUCAAUUAUUUAAUAUGUUGGUGAGGGAUUAAUUAAAACCAUGAGAGAGAGUCACUCUUUAAGGGCAAAAGAUUUUGAAUUCUGCUUGCUGAUCAGGAUGACAACAGUAUUUAUGCUGAUGGUCAAAAAGGGCAUUUCUGACUCCAAUUCCAUUUCCAGAAAACAUUAACUUUACCUCACGGUGCAUUAUUUGAAUCAGCACACGUCGCCAGGGGUUGAAUAAGACAGUUUUUCCGCACUCCACAACGCAGUACCGACACUUACUAAAUUAUGCUGUUAAAUACUGUA
ensembl:lncRNA